GCGAGGUGGUGCUAAUCCUAGAAAAUUCUUCGUAGUCCGGAUUGGAGUCUGCAACUCGACUCCAUGAAGUCGGAAUCGCUAGUAAUCGCGAAUCAGCAUGUCGCGGUGAAUACGUUCUCGGGUCUUGUACACACCGCCCGUCAUACCAUGGAGGUGGAUUGCACCAGAAGUAGAUAGUCUAACCUUCGGGAGGGCGUUUACCACGGUGUGCUUCAUGACUGGGGUAAAGUCGUAACAAGGUAGCCGUAGGGGAACCUGUGGCUGGAUCACCUCCUU
rnacentral:rRNA from 1 species